ACUAAAAAGGAUUCCCCCUAGUAGCGGCGAGCGAACGGGGAUGAGCCCAGCACUGAAUCCUGCAGUCGUAUACCGGCUGUCGGGAAAUGUAGUGUUUGGGAGGAUCCGCUAUCCUUAGGUGGUGUUGAGCGUCCAAGUUCUACUUGAAAGAGGCCAUUUACCCGUAGAGGGUGCCAGGCCCGUACGAUGCUCACCUGCCGAGGGAGGAUCUCUCCUUAGAGUCGGGUUGCUUGAGAGUGCAGCCCUAAGUAGGUGGUAAACUCCAUCUAAGGCUAAAUAUGACCACGAGACCGAUAGAAAACAAGUACCGUGAGGGAAAGUUGAAAAGGACUUUGAAGAGAGAGUUCAAUAGUACGUGAAACUGCUCAGGGGUAAACCUGUUAGGCCCGAAAGAUCGAACGGGGAGAUUCAACGCAUCCUACGGGUUGUGUGCACUUCAUCCAAGUAGAUUGUUGUGUCUCGUUAGAAGGCUCCGGGGUUAGUCCUGCGCGGCGCCCUGGAUGCCCUAAGUUACCUGGCUGACGAGAGAGUGUGUGCACGGGGCGCGAGUUCGCAUCCGACACGUCGCAAGUGGGGUAACUUGGCUGUCGCACUAAAAAACUGCUGGUGACGUUGUUCUCGGAAGAGCGUGUAUAGCACAACUAUUUUAUACUUGGGGCACUGUCAGGACCCGUCUUGAAAC
rnacentral:rRNA from 1 species